rnacentral:lncRNA from 1 species
UGCGUUUUAAAUGUCGAGUUACUUAGUUUAAAAUUAAAAAAAAUACAAUGUACAUUAUUUGACAGUGAAUUAAAACUAUCGCACAAUCUGGAUAUAGUGUACACUUUUUGGAAAUUUUAUGAACAAUAACUGAACUCAAAUUUUCAACUUUUCAAGACUUAAGAACGUAGUAUUUAAAAACAAAUUUAAACAUACCAUACUAAUUUGAUGUUAUUCUUUUCUCUCACAGUAGCAAUUUAAAUACUUCAGCAAAGUGACAUUCAAACUCAUACAUUGAGAGCCAUGGCAAAAAACGACAAACACUAAUAGACAAACAAUAAUUCAUAAAACACAACAGAAAAAACCAGAGACGGUGUACGUGUAAACAUUGUAACUUCGAUCUUCGUUUCAACAAAAAACAGUCGAAUUUACUAUUUAUAAUAGCAAACUCAAACUUUAAAUUCGUGUAAAAAUCGUGUUUGAUUUAAAAC